rnacentral:rRNA from 1 species
GGCGGCGUGCUAACACAUGCAAGUCGAACGAGGCUGAUAUUAGCUGCUAUUUGAAGCCGAGUGGCAAACGGGUGAGUAACGCGUAGACAACCUGCCGCAAAGAUGGGGACAACAGUCCGAAAGGACUGCUAAUACCGAAUGUUGUCAGAUUCCCGCAUGGGAGACUGAUUAAAGAUGGCCUCUACUUGUAAGCUAUCGCUUUGCGAUGGGUCUGCGUCUGAUUAGCUGGUUGGUGGGGUAACGGCCUACCAAGGCGACGAUCAGUAGCCGGUCUGAGAGGAUGAACGGCCACAUUGGAACUGAGACACGGUCCAGACUCCUACGGGAGGCAGCAGUGGGGAAUCUUCCGCAAUGGGCGAAAGCCUGACGGAGCAACGCCGCGUGAGUGAAGAAGGGUUUCGGCUCGUAAAGCUCUGUUGACGGGGACGAAUGUGCGAAAUGCGAAUAGUUUUUCGCAAUGACGGUACCCGUCGAGGAAGCCACGGCUAACUACGUGCCAGCAGCCGC